AAAUGUUGUAAUAUGGAAUGUUGAGGUAAUUAUGCCAUAAUGUAUUAUAGUGUAUUGGUGCAUUAGUGUAUAAGGAAUUGUAGGUGGAGCAGUCUACAAUGUAAGCUACCCCCCCCCCCCUUCCUCAUCAGACAAUAGCCUUACUUUCCCGCCUUUUUGGGGGUACCUGUAUUGCCCAAUGUACUGAUACCCUAUAGGCAUGAUUGGGGAUCCUAUUGUAAGUUUUAGUGGAUGAGUGAUUUUCUUUUGUUCGGGGUCUGUGCACCCAGAGCUGCUAUAGCAGGGACAGAGAGACAUUGUAGAUUGGAGAGAGAGGAGAGAAGCACUAAUUUGUGCCUGCUAAUGGAGAUUGUUAUUUACUUCUGGCAGAUCACAAUUCAUGUAAGUUGAUUUAUACUGUUGGAACUGAUGAUUAUUAUAUAUAUUUCAUAUUAUUAAUGGAUGUCACAUUUUAUGAAUUGCUGAAGAUAAGAUAGUGAAAGUUGAGGAUUGUUGAACCAUGUUGUAUGUACACUGAUAUAAUGACACUUUAUGAUAAAUGUGAUUAACUUAUUUCAUUUGCAUUACAUGUAUCAUGCUUUAUAAAGUAGAUUAUUAUGCUUGAAUUUCUGAUAAUGAUGAAAUGAUAAUUACUCUGACAAAUUAAAUUAAUUUUAAGUUUGUCUUUAUAUAGAUUGAAACAUGUUUCUGUUAAACAAAGUCAAUUAAAAGAAUGACUACCAAAGAGGAUUUAUAUAUAUAUAUAUUUGAAUGUAAUUACAUUGUGUCAUGCAGUUUUCACAAAGUCAUUAUUGUGAAGUAAGAAUUGUUAUUUUAUUGUUGUUACCUUUAGGGCUGCAUGUGGUGAAAUCUCCUUAUUUGAUGAACUACACUUUCUACAAUAAGGUGGAAGCUUUGUUUAUGAUCAGGGGUCGGACGACAGCAUAUAGCGUUAGUGUUGCUUCGUCGUUAUAGUAUUGGCCGGGGCUGUGUUUUCUUUGGUGAAUAAAUGCAAGACUAAAGUUUA